GGCCGGUUGGCCCAAUGGCAAGGCGUCUGACUACGAUCCACCGUGGAAUCAGGAGAUUCUGGGUUCGACCCCCAGGCUGGUCA
rfam:Colletotrichum gloeosporioides Nara gc5 unplaced genomic scaffold scaffold290, whole genome shotgun sequence.